GACGAACGCUGGCGGCGUGCCUAAUACAUGCAAGUAGAACGCUGAAGAGAGGAGCUUGCUCUUCUUGGAUGAGUUGCGAACGGGUGAGUAACGCGUAGGUAACCUGCCUGGUAGCGGGGGAUAACUUAUUGGAAACGAUAGCUAAUACCGCAUGAAAUUAAUUGUCGCAUGAUAAUUAAUUGAAAGAUGCAAUUGCAUCACUACCAGAUGGACCUGCGUUGUAUUAGCUAGUUGGUGAGGUAACGGCUCACCAAGGCGACGAUACAUAGCCGACCUGAGAGGGUGAUCGGCCACACUGGGACUUGAGACACGGGCCCCAGAUCCUCCUACGGGAGGCAGCAGU
rnacentral:rRNA from 1 species